AGCGAGAGACGGUCGCGCAGGAUUAUGGGUAAAUAGGAAGUAAACAAAUACACGUGUAAGAUGGCGCUUUCAGAGCAGUCCUCAGUGCAGGGUUCAGUUAGAGAGGUUUUAAAGGAGUUCCAGGUGUCGUUUUUCGCUAUGAGUCGGCUGCCUUCGUUUCCCUGGACUUUUGUAGAAAAAGACCUUCAGAGCAGCGGGUCAUCAGAGCUCAUUUCACAGGUGCUGAAACAGACGUGUCUUCAUCCCCUGUGCCGGAAGUUUGCACCUUCAGUCAGAUACAGGAGGCUGUUUCUCUCCGAGCUCAUCAGACGGCUGGAAGCUUCAGGCUGUGAACCUCUGGAUGAGCUGUAUGAUGCUCUGGCUGAGGUGGUGGGCACUGAGGAGACCACGGAGUGCUACAAGAGCUACCUGCUGCCUGCUGGUGGCGCUGUGAGCUUGAUGGAGAACAUUGCUCUGAUCUCAGAGGGGACCACCGGGCUGGUGACGUGGGAGGCGGCUCUUUACCUGGCGGAGUGGGCUCUGGAGAACCAGCAGGUCUUUGCUGGCAGGACGGUGCUGGAGCUGGGCAGCGGCGCGGGGUUGACGGGUAUCGCCGUCUGUCGGUCGUGCAGCCCAAAGCGAUUCAUCUUCAGUGACUGUCACUGCAGAGUGCUGCAGAAACUCAGAGACAACGUCCAGCUGAACGGGCUGAGCGAGCAGACGACCCCAGCGGUCAGCGUGGAGAAGCUGGACUGGACGGCAACCUCAGAGGAAGAGCUGAGGGAGAUUGGGGCUGACAUCAUCAUCGCCGCAGAUUCCUGUUGUUUGUUUGUCGUGGUGCAGACGUGGUGUACGACCCUGACAUUGCAGGAAGUCUGGCGAAGCUGCUGUCCAUUGUCAUGAGGUGUUCGUCUGCUGAGGUUCUCCCUCAGGUCUUCGUCUGCUCCACGAUAAGGAACCUGGAGACGUACGGCGGCUUCAAACAGCAGCUUGAAACUGAAGGAGUCGGCCAUGAAGUGAUCCCAGGACCUGUCAACCAUGUGUUUCCUUAUAACAGACAGUCGGCUAUAGAGCUCAUCAAACUGUGCAGAUGACACGGGGGGAGCAUGAUAAAGAUUUUAUUUACAAAUGUACAUCUCCAUCGUCAUGACAACUUCCUUUGUACAUUCAAGUGAAGAAGGAAAAACGUCAGGAAUAAAAAGAAGACCUCAGAAGACUUCGGUCUUUUCACCCGCUGAUCCAUUUAAAUUUUAAAUGUACAUUUAUCAUAAAACACCCAAGCAAACAGUUUUGGUCCUUUGCGCUCUCACUCUGCUGUAACUGGAGCUCAUAUCAUCCAGGCAUUCACUGGAUACUGGACUCAAAGGCUGGGCCUACUUUAUUCCAUGAAAAGUGCUCACCCGGCAUACGAGGAAAAAAAGGCUUGUUUCCAUGGUGAUGUCUACUGCACGUGCCCAGUAGGGCUUAGAAAGCGAGACUUUCAUGAAUAAAAGAAAUGGUUUUAAAACAGCAGCACUGUCUAGCUCUCUAAAUACAGCCAAAGUUAUCUCGGAGCAGUGAUUAGAGGAAGGACGUUCUGGUCCCAGUUGUCAUCCCAGCACUGUCCCCUGCUGGCGCGGAGGUUCCUCCUGAAGGUUCCCAGUUUGCCGUCUGAACUGGGAAAAUCUGA